GAGGAUGUAGCUCAGGUGGUAGAGCGCUUGCUUAGCAUGCGAGAGGUACAGGGAUCGAUACCCCACAUCUCCA
rfam:Ipomoea nil DNA, scaffold: scaffold2283, cultivar: Tokyo-kokei standard.